rnacentral:rRNA from 1 species
GACGAACGCUGGCGGCGUGCCUAAUACAUGCAAGUAGAACGCUGAAGAGAGGAGCUUGCUCUUCUUGGAUGAGUUGCGAACGGGUGAGUAACGCGUAGGUAACCUGCCUUGUAGCGGGGGAUAACUAUUGGAAACGAUAGCUAAUACCGCAUAACAAUGGAUGACACAUGUCAUUUAUUUGAAAGGGGCAAUUGCUCCACUACAAGAUGGACCUGCGUUGUAUUAGCUAGUAGGUGAGGUAAUGGCUCACCUAGGCGACGAUACAUAGCCGACCUGAGAGGGUGCUCGGCCACCCUGGGACUGAGACACGGCCCAGACUCCUACGGGAGGCAGCAGUAGGGAAUCUUCGGCAAUGGGGGCAACCCUGACCGAGCAACGCCGCGUGAGUGAAGAAGGUUUUCGGAUCGUAAAGCUCUGUUGUAAGUCAAGAACGGGUGUGAGAGUGGAAAGUUCACACUGUGACGGUAGCUUACCAGAAAGGGACGGCUAACUACGUG